GUCAUGGCUCAGGAUGAACGCUAGCGACAGGCUUAACACAUGCAAGUCGAGGGGCAGCGAGGGAGUGGCAACACUUCUGUCGGCGAUCGGCGCACGGGUGAGUAACGCGUAUGCAACCUGCCCUUCACAGGGGGAUAACCGGGAGAAAUUCCGACUAAUACCGCAUACGUCCUCCGGGGGCAUCCCCGGGGGAUGAAAGAAUUAUCGGUGAAGGAUGGGCAUGCGUGAUAUUAGGUAGUUGGCGGGG
rnacentral:rRNA from 1 species